rnacentral:misc_RNA from 1 species
AAGUCGUAACAAGGUUUCCGUAGGUGAACCUGCGGAAGGAUCAUUAGCGUAAUUCUGGUUGAAAAACCGAGGAUUUCCACACUUGUGUUUUAAGCAAAAGGUUUUCAAAGUGUUCUCUUGUUUUCUUUAUUAGAAGAGGGAGACACGAGGAAUUUUUUGCGAACUCAAAAACUGUCUCUUUUUUCUUUUCUGUUUGAUUACAGAGGAAGAAGGACGGUAUAAACUUUUUUAUUAUCAAUAACAAAUAAAAACUUUCAACAACGGAUCUCUUGGUUCUG